CCCUUUUAAAUGAGAACCGUUACUCCUCGUAGCAUUUUGCUAACAGCUGUUAACAUGGUUUGCUUGUGGCUUAUUUUCCCUUUUAAAUGAGAACAUCAACCAACACAUUCAAAAACAAAAUGGUACUCGACUCGGAGUGCUGUACAAACUUCUGAGAGCCGGUUAGAGAACACAACACCUGCAUGGAGCUUCCCUGGAACUCAAGUCCCCCCACACCCUUCAGUGAGCAACGAGGUCUGCAGAGACUGAUGACGCCAUUGAGGAGUUCAAGACGAGAAGCGCUGAGAGCGCCAGCAGGAGACAAUGCGAUGGCAAAGUGAUUCUGAGGUCCUGUGAGGCGGAACGGGCAUCUGGAAGUCCGUUUUACAGCAGACGUGGUGUGAACAGUGAGCUAGCCAAUGCUAGUAACUCUGCACCCUGUAAUAUCACCUACAGCAGAAGUCCAUCUCCUGUUCCACUGACCUCCCAGUGGGGGUUCAGGUCCGGUAGUCGGCUUGUCUUAAUUAGUCUCCCAGCUCUAGCAGCCCCAUCAUUUACCAGCAAUGUGCAUGCAUCAGCUGGAGCCACGGCAGAGACAAGGGUCGAAGUGUGAACCUGAGAACGGCGCAGGACCACCAGAAAGCUGCGGCGGCCCAAAAACAC